GCUGAACUCCGGCCACUUGAGCUGCUCUUACACUGUAUACCUGUGUCUGAGUACUCAGUUCAUCCACCAGUCAGGGUCUGUGGGACAGACUAGGCAGGUGGUGCCCCGUGUGAGGAGCAGCGCAGUGGAUCAUGAUGGAACCCUCGAAAAUGAACGUGAAGUGACUGCGCAGAUAUGCUUGUGUUCACAUCCCCUCAGGUCCUCUUGGGAUUCCAGUGCAAUGCAUCAAACCAUACCAUGGCAUGGCUGGGACCCAAUGCAGUACUGGAAAUGAAGAAUGUGAGCCUGUAGGACCCGCAGCCCCGGACAAUGCAGCUUCCUCGGACAACACAGGUCCCGGAUGGGGAAUGUGAAAUAGACAACUGGGGGAUGCUAAAUAAGACAACUCAGGAGGCUAAGUGAAUCACAGACACCAUUCACUCCAGAUAAUCUGUUCCUUGCUAUGCUGUCUGUUGUACAUUGCAACUCUUGUAAGGAUGCAAAGCUGGAACACAAGCUGUAACCGCUGCACCUGUCAAACCUGUCGCUGCACACAUCUGUACGCUUCAAUCAACUAAACCUGAUGCAAAAAACAGAAAAGGGAGAGAUGUAGGGGAUCACUCAGAGUGGUGGGAAAAACUAUAGGGAAAGGACACAAACCUUCUGAAAGGUUGGAAGGGUCUGCAGAGCCCCUGGGGAGAAUAGCUGGAAGCAGCUGUUCUAUAACCCUGAGACAGAGGGCAAGGAGUAGAUACAAGGGAGUGUGGGGGGAAUUGAUCUUAAACAAUCUUGUUAUGUUGACCAGGAACUGACCUUUGAUCAUCCCUGCAUGUGAAGUUCCCUGAAAGGGGAACAAUAAAUGUUAAUUACCUUCA